rnacentral:rRNA from 1 species
UACGUAGGGUGCAGGCGUUAAUCGGAAUUACUGGGCGUAAAGCGUGCGCAGGCGGUCUGUUAAGAGAGAUGUGAAAUCCCCGGGCUUAACCUGGGAACUGCGUUUCUAACUGGCAGGCUUGAGUGUGGCAGAGGGGGGGUGGAAUUCCACGUGUAGCAGUGAAAUGCGUAGAGAUGUGGAGGAACACCGAUGGCGAAGGCAGCCCCCCUGGGCUAACACUGACGCUCAUGCACGAAAGCGUGGGGAGCAAACAGG